rnacentral:rRNA from 1 species
GUGGGGGAUAUUGCGCAAUGGGGGAAACCCUGACGCAGCAAUGCCGCGUGAGUGAAGAAGGUCUUCGGAUUGUAAAGCUCUGUUGCGGGGGAAAAAGGGGAUAUGCAGGAAAUGGCAUAUCAUUGAUGGUACCCCGCCAGAAAGCCACGGCUAACUACGUGCCAGCAGCCGCGGUAAUACGUAGGUGGCAAGCGUUAUCCGGAAUGAUUGGGCGUAAAGGGUGCGCAGGCGGCGCUGAAAGUCUGAAGUGAAAGGUACCGGCUUAACUGGUACAGGCUUUGGAAACUGCAGUGCUUGAGGACAGGAGAGGGCGGCGGAACUCCAUGUGUAGCGGUAAAAUGCGUAGAUAUAUGGAAGAACACCAGUGGCGAAGGCGGCCGCCUGGACUGUAACUGACGCUGAGGCACGAAAGCGUGGGGAGCAAAUAGGA